CUAGUAAUGUUUGUUGUUCGGGUACUAAAAUGGUCAUACCCAUUUUAGUCUUGGGUAACUCUACCCAUAUAAGCCCAAAGGGCAUAAAAAAGGUAUAAAAGGCCCCAAAUAAGUCAAAUACAUCAAUAUGGCCUUCAACGACCCACAUAUGUAAUUUUAGGGCUCAUAAACCCACUUAUGUACUCAUAUAAAUACCCCUCAAAGGGCAUAAGGUAAAAGGAGGUCACUCUUAUCAUCUAAGAUGACCAUACUCCUCCACUCUCUCCCCUAAACUCCUCUCAAAAUAUGCAUUGUUUGGCAACUAACUUGGGCGUCGGAGGCUCCGCCUCGGGUUCAACCCCCGGGGCUCGGGGUUCAUUUUGCAGGUCCAUUCAAGGCCCAAAUUCGAGGUUCUCAGACACCCCUCCAAGGCCCGGUUAGCUCAUUUUUUGCCGAAACAAUUUGGCGCCGUCUGUGGGGAGACGAGUACUACUACCCAUGAAAAUCCACUAAUUCAUGGCUACUGUGUUCUAUCACGAAAAAGGGUCAAAAUUUCUAGCAAAUUUAACCCAAAAUUAUUACUCCUGUCAAAAGGGGUAAUCAUUCUUGCAAAUGGUGGAGAUGAUAGAUAAACAUUUUGAUUUGUCGCCAAUCUAACCACUACUAACAAGGUACUUCGUGCCUUUACAAAAAAAUUGGGAAAUAUUCCAUGAAUAUGGUCAAACCUUAAUUAUUCUUGAAGAAGAAUAAAAGCUAGAUCUACGUGGCUCUAAUGGAAAGCUCACAAAAGCAAGCCUUUCAUUCACACCACCAAGUUGAAGAGGCAACAGGUGACAUGAAACAUACAUAAAAAAUCAAUCAAGUUUAUGUAAAUUCAAUGCUUGCCGAAGGAAAUUUCCAUUGUCUUCAUCACAAGCUUCAAGGCUCACAACUCCACCACUAGAACGACUCACCAUUUCAUCCUAGGCAACACAUGCCGAGGUCAAUGGGGGUCAAGGCUAGUAUUGUGAAGUGAGCCAAAUCUCUUCACAUCACAUCUAAAGUAGCAGCCGAAGAAGAUCUGAGGUUGUCUACCAUUGUUGAAGCUUAAAAAAGCUCAAACUAUCACCAAUCUAAAAAUCCGAAGCAAAUAGCUCGGAUAAGCAAAAGGAAUCCGAAGCUCAUCGAGCCGAGGCUAUCCGAAGGAGUUUCAGCCCAAGCCGAAGGCGUUCUGGGCGAGUCGAAGGUGAUUCAGCAGAAACCAAGGGUGGUACAGUUUACCGCUCCCAAGUUAAGGUCGGUAACCAUUGCCGAGCCGAAGCUCACCUCUUAUCUCCUGGCCGAGGCUAGCCAUAGCCGAAGCCGAGCCCAGCCGAGGUUUACCUUCGCCGAGAUUCGAGCUCCUAGCCGAAGCUCACAACCAUAUGAGCCGAGGGUGCUGCCGAAGAUGGUUUGUCUGAACCGAAGAAGGUUCAUCCAAGCCGAAGCUCAUACGAGCUAAUGCUAGAGCAACAAAAGCAAUUAGCUUCGGCAGUCAAGUGCAAUUGGCUCAAAUUGUACCCGACCUCAACCUACAUCAAAUCUGAUGAUAACAAGUCAGAAGAAAAAUUUACCUUUUGACCAUUUUCAAAGAGCUAUAAGCCAUAAAAAAAAAACUACCUUUGUCAGGGUAGAUGGCCAGAAUCUUUCUUACCUGCGGCUACUACUUUUAUCAAGUAAAUGGCUUCGGGCCCACUUUCAUCAAAGCCCAUCUAUCAAAUUGCUUCAGCAAAGAAAAAUGGCUCUUAAUUUUUCGAGUCAAUAUUUUCCUCAAAAAAAAAAAAAAAAUAUCAUCAACUAUCCUCACGAUGACGAUGAUAAAAUUAAUCAUCAAUCUUCCUCACGAUGAUGAUGAUUAAAAAAAAAAAAAAA